CAUUCCCUUCUCUUUAUUUGGAGCUGGCUUCUCCUUGCCUUUUGCACAAGUGAGUGGGAUCUGCCAACCCCAAAAUAAGUGACUUCAUGGAAAGGCUUCUAUGAAUGAAACUUACACCAAGCUAAGUGCAGAGCCUGCAUCCAAAUGGCUCCUUCCCAGCAACUGGAUGAUAGGCAGAAACAGAGCAGACUGCUUUUUCCUACUUCCCAGGACAGUGGUGAGUGGCACUAGCAGGUAUGUUCAGCUCAGGAGAAGUGUCACAAAGGACCUGCUUCCCACAGGCUGCUUCUUCUGGCACAGUUCUUUCCUGGCCCCUCUCCAAGCACUGUGCCUAUCUACUAAUGCAUCUGGUGGGUUUUCUUGCUCAGAACCAUCUUACUUGUUAUCAAGGGCCUGAUCUUACAAAAUGCUGAGUUGUGCCAUCAGAUUGUACUGACUCUCAUGGAGGCCAGAGAUUUGGGCCUUAGCACAUUUCAAGGAAAGGUUACUUUGGUUGGGAACUACAGUAGGGGUUAACAAGUGAGUAUUAAUACCGUGAUACAGGACUCCUGGUACAUCAUGUUAUUCUUCCUUACCUUUCCACCAAACUUGUCCUCACUUCCACCAUGAAGAAGUAGCAUCUGGCCUACCACUUCCUCUAUAAACACCCAGUGAUCAAAAAGAAAAUGUGUCCUUGUCAUAUCAAACUUUAAUUUGUCUGUGCAGGCUGAGAGAGCAGCAGCUCAGAGUGUACUGGUGUAUUUGGGCAGGGCAAGAGGUUAAGCCUUGGUUAACAGAGGCUGAUGGGGUGUCACAGCUGUGGGGCUGUGAGGUUCCCCUAGUUAUGUCAGGACUGUGCUCAGCCUUGGCAUCUUUUUACACUAGACACUGAAACAGAGGUGCAGCAGGGACAUAGAGUGUUACCCUGUGGUGUUUCUCACGGUAGGUUGGUCUGUGUCACUGCCUGUGGAUUCAAGGAGCUGUGGCCAGCUCACAGGUGAGAAGGAUGAGACUGGAUGUUUGCAUUCUACAGUGCUGGCAUCAAGGUGUUCAGAGCCAACAACUGUACAGCCUGCCAGAGAGAUACUAAAACUGGCAUCUGCCCUUUGUUCAACAGGUUAGAUAAUCUUGGCUCAUAUUACUGUGGCUGCAUCCAAUACAGCACUAGAGACAACACUAGAACCCCAGCCUUCCUAUUCCCCACCCCUCCAGCACACUUUAGCACCAGGCAGGGCAGUAGAAUCACUGGGACAAUUUCCAUCCAGGAUGUGCAGUGCUUUCCUCAGCUCCCAGUGUCCCAGCCUCUUCCUUUCUGCCAUGUUCUCAGCGUGAAACUGAGAACAAAGGGCGUCUGGAGGCCUGCAGCGUGGCUGCUCCCUCCUGUCUCCACAGCAGGCAUGUCAGCCUCCAGCAGAGCUUGAAAAAGAGGAAAGAAAAGAA
rnacentral:lncRNA from 1 species